GGGCAGGGGAAGAACAAAACCCUAAACAACCUAAAUUCCUCAAAUUGAAAGGGGAAUUGAGGACUAAUUGAAUGCAUGAACCAAGAAUGUUGAUCCCGUAAGCGUUUCUAAUAUCAAGAGUCAUCUCAACAUGGACACAAGCAUGGAAGGGCAACGGGUCAAGGGUAAACACGGAAGUUAUGCAUGAACUCGGACGCACGAGGUAACAAAAUGUGAAAGCCAAAUAG
rnacentral:lncRNA from 1 species